UACGUAGGUGGCUAGCGUUGUCCGGAUUUACUGGGCGUAAAGAGCGCGCAGGCGGUCGUUCAAGUCGAGUGUGAAAGCCCCCGGCUCAACUGGGGAGGGUCACUCGAUACUGAUCGACUUGAAGGCAGGAGAGGGAAGCGGAAUUCCCGGUGUAGUGGUGAAAUGCGUAGAUAUCGGGAGGAACACCAGUGGCGAAGGCGGCUUUCUGGCCUGUUCUUGACGCUGAGGCGCGAAGGCGUGGGGAGCGAACGGGG
rnacentral:rRNA from 1 species